UACGUAGGGUGCGAGCGUUAAUCGGAAUUACUGGGCGUAAAGCGUGCGUAGACGGUAGCGUAAGUCGGGUGUGAAAGCCCCGGGCUCAACCUGGGAAUGCCAUUCGAGACUGCAUAGCUAGGGUGCGGAAGAGGGAAGCGGAAUUUCCGGUGUAGCGGUGAAAUGCGUAGAUAUCGGAAGGAACACCAGUGGCGAAAGCGGCUUCCUGGUCCAGCACCGACGUUCAGGCACGAAAGCGUGGGGAGCAAACAGG
rnacentral:rRNA from 1 species